rnacentral:ncRNA from 2 species
GGCCCGUCGCACGUCAUGGGUGUUCGGCUUGCCGGACCUAAGAGGGAAGCCGGUUUCAUUCCGGCGCUGCCCCCGCAACUGUGACCGGGGAGCCCGUUUCCACGAUGCCACUGGCCUUUAAGGCUGGGAAGGCGGGGCGGGCGGCGAUCCGGGAGCCAGGAGACCUGCCUGUGACAGUCGUUCCGC